rnacentral:lncRNA from 1 species
AACCAACACAGCAAAAUAUAUGAAACGAAAGAACUAGAGGUUCACUUUGGCACCUCUUAGGAUUACCAUUAUGUCACUGGGUCACUGCUUAUAUUUUAUUAUGCAGGAACGACAAUCAGAAGUCGGCAGAUAUCAUCUGCUAUUAUCUGCUUGCCAGUUGACGAAAGGAAGCCAGCAGAUACCAGUCUACAAUUAUUCAGCUGCAACAUUUCCACCGCCACAUCCAACAAGACCUAUCAUCAGACAAACAUG